rnacentral:rRNA from 1 species
UGGGGAAUAUUGCACAAUGGGGGAAACCCUGAUGCAGCGACGCCACGUGAGCGAAGAAGGUUUUCGAAUCGUAAAGCUCUGUCCUAUGAGAAGAUAAUGACGGUAUCAUAGGAGGAAGCCCCGGCUAAAUACGUGCCAGCAGCCGCGGUAAUACGUAAGGUCCGAGCGUUGUCCGGAAUCAUUGGGCGUAAAGGGUACGUAGGCGGAUAAGCAAGUUAGAAGUGAAAUCCUAUAGCUCAACUAUAGUAAGCUUUUAAAACUGCUCAUCUUGAGGUAUGGAAGGGAAAGUGGAAUUCCUAGUGUAGCGGUGAAAUGCGCAGAUAUUAGGAGGAAUACCGGUGGCGAAGGCGACUUUCUGGCCAUAUACUGACGCUGAGGUACGAAAGCGUGGGUAGCAAACAGG